GGCAGUCUUCUGUGGCCUAAUUGCUGGGCGCUAUCCUUCUCCAUUUCAAAGGGUCAGCUGUGAGGGCUGGUCUGGUCAUACUGUCAGUCACUAAGACUGUGGGGGUUGGGGCAUUUUCUCUUAUUUGGAGAAGCUCCAACACAUGAGCUUACCUCUCCCGAAAUAAGUGUUUUUUGUGAAUGACAGACAGGGUCGUUAAGACUGACAAAAAGAUCUCGAAAUUGGAUAAGUACAAUUUCAGACACUUUCGGAAACAUAAGUUUAUUCAUGAAUCUUUUUAAUUCAUAAAUGUAUGGAUUUAUAUCACUUUUAUUCAAAACAAGACACAUUUGUGUGUGGAUCAGAAAUGUGUGUGUGAAACUUACUUUUGCCUAUGGAUUUAUUUUACAGUUAUACCUGCCGAUAUCCAUUUGUGUGUGCAUUGAAAUGUAUUUGUGAGAAGAGAGUAAUUUAUAUAAAAAUUACAAAAUACAUUUGUUAAUCCUUCUCUGUGCAUUCAUUAUUAAUGAGACUGUUCUGACCCCAUAAAAAUGGACAAACAA